GCUAGGGUAGGUAAUGUUUGAGAGCUAGCAAAAUUUGAAAAUGGCACCUCUUCUAAGCUCCACCCCCUCUCGUUAGCACUCCGUCCAAAGCUACGCCCCCACAAACAUGAACGCGCAUCCACAGUCGGAGUCAGCUGCAGGUCACAGGAAAACCGAGUAUUUCAACACAUUAUAGGCAUCAACCAAACGACUUCAUGUCUCAUUCACCUAGUUUCCACGACGAGAGCAUUUGAUCUGAUCCUACAUACAGUCCGCAUCCGAGCACGUCUUCAGGUCAAAGGGGACAGACCCGAGGUCGUGCUCGAGGAAGAGGAGGUGCACGGGGUAGAAGCCGAGGAAGUCGAGGUAGAGGACGCGGAGCAAGUCAGACUGCAACCGGAGAACACCCGAGACAUGACGAUAUUCUGCGAGUCGAGAAUCUGCAAGCUCAACGAAUUUCAGAUGAGCAGGCCAGAAUUCAUACACUGAGCUUGGAAGAAUCCCAUCAGUUGCUGCAGAUCUGCCUGACAAGGGACCCAAGCCUCAUCUUUGAUCUCCUCCAUAUGUCAACAUCAGGAGAUGCUCCUCCACCAGGCCCUCCAGCUCUGAGUCAACCCACUUGGUGUGUGUGCCGAAACUGCAGAGAGAUGCCCUCAGAUGUAGAAAGAAAGUGCUGUGGGCAACAAGACGACUCCUGUAUUUCCAUGCUGCCCCACAUGGAAUUGUACAUUUUGCAGGAGGGGGUGUUGCGACUUGCCAGAAGGAUCUGGAAUGAUGUCCGGGCUGUGGAGGAUCUUCCAGUCCCAGGGGAGAGCAAUAAACAAUUCCGCUACGCUGCAUACCGGCAAUAUGUUGUGUGGCAAUAUGGGGCACUGGGCACAGAGUAGUAAUUCCUAGUUGCUGUGUUUUGGAAAAUUAGAGACAGCUACCCAGAUACACAUGGACAGUAUACAGGUUUCAUCCCAAGUAGGGUGUAGGCACAGUACAAUAAAUAGUAUUUAUUUUUGUGCCCUGCUUUUUUAUUUAUUUUGUACUGGUUUAUAUAUUGUUCUGUAAAAUUUGCACUAAUGUAUACAGUAUGUACAGUCAUAUUAUUAUUUAAAUUUUGUCAUGUUUGAAUAAAUAUUUUGAGUUGAUAAAUGCCUUUCCUUUAUCAUUUUAGCAUAAACAAGCUAUUACUUUUCUUACCUCCUUACAUGCUAAAUGAAUAAUGACAAUGAAUGUGGUAUAACUCUUUUUGUUUUAUUAAAAAAAAAACAACAACAAGAAAGACCUAAGAGGAAUACUUUUUUAAACAACUAUCUGUCCUUUUGUUGCUUUUGAUUGUCAUAAACAAUCUGUAUUUACACAUAAUACAUUUGAAAUAUAUAUAUGUUAGAAAAUGAGUGUCCAUGGAUGGCUGACAGGUCAGGCUUUGCAUGAUGCGUUGUCUUCUGUGGUGAUCUACUCCUUUGGCAGUGAUUUACCUUUAGGGGCUGUUUACACUUGGUAUUAAGAUGUGUUUUCGUCGAUCGGAUCACAACUGGAUGAGAGAGACACAUUACGUUUACACCUGGUAUUUAAAUCCGUCUCUUUUGUCCACUUUCAACCGCUUCUGUGCUGAAUACUAUGAGGGGGUGGUCUGUGAGACGGUGGGCGAGUCUCUCUGCUGUCAUUCAAACCCGAGCGGGAGUAAUUAUGAGUUUAUAUGGACGCAAACUAAUUUUAUGUCGAAGUCCACUGCUUGUUUAGCAAGUAAACAUGCUGCACAGAGUUUUGUACAUGUGUAUGUAAGAGCUUUCUCUGAAUUUUCAGCGAUAUUG